rnacentral:rRNA from 1 species
UACGUGAAACCGCUUAGAGGUAAACGGGUGGAACCUCGAAAUCUAGUGUUGGGUGAUUCAGCCCGGGUACGUUUCGAGAAUGACGGACCACCGUGUUCACACCCCAUCGACUAGGGGUGGACAUAAAGGUCGCAGUCACUGUGCCCUGGUGCAUUUCGCCCAACCAAUGAAGGCCGCGACUGGUUGGUCGAUAGUCAGAAGGAUAGCUCAAGGAAAGGUGGCCGACUGCAUCUAGGUGCGGUAGGUGUUACAACCUAAGCGGUAUUGCUGACUAUUGGUCCGACUCAGGACGAGAAAACUUUUGGCGUGCCCUACCUCGAAGGUAGUGUCGGGCUUAUUUUGUGGCUGUAGGUCCUUUUGGAUUACACCCUCGUGGUGGUUCGAACUGUAUCUUUAGUCCCGGAUUUUCCCGUCGUUGGGCGCUUAAGGUCAGCGGUCAGUAGGUCGGUUUCCACCCGACCCGUCUUGAAACACGGACCAAGGAGUCUAACGCGUAUGCAAGUCCAAGGGAGUCGACCAACCCCGAAGGGCGCAAUGAAAGUGAAGGUAGGCCUUGGCUUUACCUCGUUGGGAUCCAGGCCUCCCGGGGCUCGGCGCACCAACGGCCCGUCCCGUCCUCUUCGAAGGUGGGGCGGAGCAAGAGCAUACGCUCUAGGACCCGAAAGAUGGUGAACUAUGCCUGGGCAGGACG